rnacentral:lncRNA from 1 species
AGCUGAACUUUCAGGAAGAUAAGCAGCCCAGACUUGAGUUUCUAGAUGUAUACAACCAGGUGCAUGUCCAAGGCACAGAGGGUGGUAUUUAUAACCCAUAGUAACAUUAAAUGCAGUGUCUUAUUCUCCUGGUUGGGCAGGGCAACAGUUAUCUGUGGCUCCAGGCAUCCACACACUAUUGUUAGUGUAGAUUUCUGCAGAAGCAUCUAUCCAGGUGAGAGGUUGAAUAAGUGGAGGAAAAGGCACAUAAGCCCAAUAAGAAUAUUUAUGUGUAGCAGGUAAAUCAGUGUGAGAGGAAACUGGUGAGACAGAAAGUAUAAGGAGGAGAAUCAUUAAAUAAAACUUAUUGUAAGUGAGAUUCUGAAGAAGGAAGAGAAGAACAGUGUUAAGUAUCCUGGCAAAGGAGCAUUAGGGUUACAGAUAGAAUUGAAGUUGCUCGUCAGCUGAUUGAAGAUAAGGAGAUUGGCCUGGAUUAUCCAGGUAGGCUCAAUGUAAUCAGGAAGGGCCUUUAAAGUGAGAGAGGGAGGCAGAAGAGGAAGUCAGAGCGAUGUGCUGUGAAAUCUACUACCGUUUGCUGGUUUUGAAAAUGGAGAAAAAGAGUGAGGAACUGAGAAACAUGGAUGGCCUUGGGAACGUGGAAAAGACACAUACUAACAAAAGGCCACAUGAGGACACAGUGAGAAGCUGGAAGUCUACAACCCAGAAGAGAGCCCUCAACAGAACCUAACCAUGCUGGUACCCUGAUCUCAGACAUCCAGCCUCCAGAAGAGUGAAAAAAUAUAAUUCUUAUUUCUAAGCAACCUGGUCUAUGGUAUUUCAUUAUGGCAGCCCAAGCUAAGACAGAUCCCUAUCCUAUUCACCAUGCUGCAGAGCCACAUGAGCCUCCCUUUUGUUCCUCAAGCUCAUCAAAUACCUCCUAGCCUUAGAACUUGCUAUUCCCUCUAACCAGAAUUCUCUUCCAGGUCUUUCCAUCCUGUAAGUCUUGUCCUUUAGAUCGAAAUUCACAUGUGACCUCCCCUGAGAAUGGUCCUCUGAAAACCUAUCUCAAAGAGUGUUCCCAGUUACUCUCUACCUUACCCCCAGGUUAUUAUCUUCCCACCACUUUUCCAUAUUUGUAAUCAUUUGCUUUUGUAUAUGUGUGAUAUGGUUAGGCUUAGUGUCCCUACCCAAAUCUCGUGUUAAAUUGUAAUCCCCAGGGAGAUUACAAUUUAGGGAGAGACCUGGUGGGAAGUGAUUGGAUUAUGGGGGUGGGUUCCCCCAUGCUGUUCUCGUGAUAGUGAGUGAAUUCUCAUAAGAUCUAAUGGUUUUGUAAAUGGUAGUUUUUCCUGUGCUGACUCAUUCUCUCUCCUGCUGCCUUGUGAAGAGGUGCCUUCUGUCAUGACUGUAAGUUUCCUGAAGCUUCCCCAACCAUGGGGAACUGUGAGUCAAUUAAAC